AAAUUUCCAUUUUUUCAUGAAUUAUUUUAGUUUACACAUGGGUAUGGUGUCCCUCCUCUAUCACUCACUCCUCCCUGCCUGUUAAAGAAUCUCUCUGUAGCUAUAUAUACAUGGAGUUGCUAGAUAGCUAAAAUGCAUCACAUCCUGAAAUUUCUUACUCAACGCCUAGUUCUGUUCUUAUUCUUGCUUGCAACUUCCCGGUGCCUUAUUGUUUGCCGAUCUAGACUUGCAUCCCACACUCAACCAAGGAAUUCGAACUAAACUGAAUCAACUUUCUCCAAACCCAAUAUAACAAUUCUGUUCCAUCUUCAUAUGGAUAAUGACCAAAAAGAAAAGGAAGAAAUUAACAAAAUGGUGGCUUAUGUUGAUAGUUGGUAUAGGCGAACUCGGACACAAGAAACAGAUAUAUAUCUGCAAGUGUUGAUAACCAUGGGAGAAGACAAGACCAGAAGCUUAUUUCCCAUUCGGGAUGGACUUAACAGAUGAGGUACUUAGCACCGUAAAAUCCUUUACAACGGCAUGGCUGCAGAGUAAUAUUGGAUUUGAAAUCUUUAACAUUGUUGAACCUAAAAGGUAACAGUAUUCAAUAGCCGAUUCCGAAAUUCAACAGUGGUGUUAGGAUUAUAUUUAUACCGAUGUCAAGAGUCCUCCAAUUCCAAAGCUGGUUCAAACACUGGAAGGGGAUUUAUUCUAGUUAUUAUUCAUAGCGGUUUUUACCUGUUGAGAACCCUGCUGGUUGGUGACCAUACCCCAAUUCAUCAAUCACCGUUUAGUUUGAUGGGAAACAACUUCCGGCAUCGCUACGGCAGAGUAACCGUUAAUGAUCAAAUGGUUUUGUUUGAUUUAAUUUUAUUUUCACUAGCUUUUGGUUUUUCAUGUGUUGAUUGAUAUAACCAUGGGAGAAGACAAGAGUAGCACCUAUUUAGCUCUCUGCAUGUGCCCGAGCUUUUUCAUUUCAUUUCAUUCGCAUUAUUUUAUUUUGGUGCAUGGUUUGCUACACUGGCCAAGAGAGUACUUCCGCAAGUAGAGUGGCAAACCGGCAAUAGGAUAGUUACCAGCGGUACUGUCAGUUUGGUUGUCAGAUUGUCAACACAGUUAAAAACAAUUCUUGUAAGAAUUAAGGAAAGGAUAUAUUAUGGUGAAUGAUAGUGAAUUAGACCUUUGGUGUUUGACAUAAA